AGACCCGAAACCCGGUGAUCUAGCCAUGGGCAGGUUGAAGGUUGGGUAACACUAACUGGAGGACCGAACCGACUAAUGUUGAAAAAUUAGCGGAUGACCUGUGGCUGGGGGUGAAAGGCCAAUCAAACCGGGAGAUAGCUGGUUCUCCCCGAAAGCUAUUUAGGUAGCGCCUCGUGAAUUCAUCUCCGGGGGUAGAGCACUGUUUCGGCUAGGGGGCCAUCCCGGCUUACCAACCCGAUGCAAACUGCGAAUACCGGAGAAUGUUAUCACGGGAGACACACGGCGGGUGCUAACGUCCGUCGUGAAGAGGGAAACAACCCAGACCGCCAGCUAAGGUCCCAAAGUCAUGGUUAAGUGGGAAACGAUGUGGGAAGGCCCAGACAGCCAGGAUGUUGGCUUAGAAGCAGCCAUCAUUUAAAGAAAGCGUAAUAGCUCACUGGUCGAGUCGGCCUGCGCGGAAGAUGUAACGGGGCUAAACCAUGCACCGAAGCUGCGGCAGCGACACUGUGUGUUGUUGGGUAGGGGAGCGUUCUGUAAGCCUGUGAAGGUGUGUCGUGAGGCAUGCUGGAGGUAUCAGAAGUGCGAAUGCUGACAUAAGUAACGAUAAAGCGGGUGAAAAGCCCGCUCGCCGGAAGACCAAGGGUUCCUGUCCAACGUUAAUCGGGGCAGGGUGAGUCGACCCCUAAGGCGAGGCCGAAAGGCGUAGUCGAUGGGAAACGGGUUAAUAUUCCCGUACUUGGUGUUACUGCGAAGGGGGGACGGAGAAGGCUAUGUUGGCCGGGCGACGGUUGUCCCGGUUUAAGCGUGUAGGUGUGUGUUCCAGGUAAAUCCGGUUCACUUUAACACUGAGGCGUGACGACGAGGCACUACGGUGCUGAAGCAACAAAUGCCCUGCUUCCAGGAAAAGCCUCUAAGCAUCAGGUAACAUCAAAUCGUACCCCAAACCGACACAGGUGGUCAGGUAGAGAAUACCAAGGCGCUUGAGAGAACUCGGGUGAAGGAACUAGGCAAAAUGGUGCCGUAACUUCGGGAGAAGGCACGCUGACACGUAGGUGAAGUGAUUUACUCAUGGAGCUGAAGUCAGUCGAAGAUACCAGCUGGCUGCAACUGUUUAUUAAAAACACAGCACUGUGCAAACACGAAAGUGGACGUAUACGGUGUGACGCCUGCCCGGUGCCGGAAGGUUAAUUGAUGGGGUCAGCGCAAGCGAAGCUCCUGAUCGAAGCCCCGGUAAACGGCGGCCGUAACUAUAACGGUCCUAAGGUAGCGAAAUUCCUUGUCGGGUAAGUUCCGACCUGCACGAAUGGCGUAAUGAUGGCCAGGCUGUCUCCACCCGAGACUCAGUGAAAUUGAACUCGCUGUGAAGAUGCAGUGUACCCGCGGCAAGACGGAAAGACCCCGUGAACCUUUACUAUAGCUUGACACUGAACAUUGAGCCUUGAUGUGUAGGAUAGGUGGGAGGCUUUGAAGUGUGGACGCCAGUCUGCAUGGAGCCGACCUUGAAAUACCACCCUUUAAUGUUUGAUGUUCUAACGUGGACCCGUUACCCGGGUUGCGGACAGUGUCUGGUGGGUAGUUUGACUGGGGCGGUCUCCUCCUAAAGAGUAACGGAGGAGCACGAAGGUUGGCUAAUCCUGGUCGGACAUCAGGAGGUUAGU
rnacentral:rRNA from 2 species